CCUCGUAUAAUUGUUUACAAAAAAAAGCUAAACUUGGAGGACUUUUAGCACCACUGGAGACUUGAGGAAAGCUUGAAAAGACUCAUCUACUAUUUGGACUUGAUUCUUAGUUGCUUAGAGCUUUGGUAAAGAGACAUGGCUAUGGCUAUCUGUGAUGCUUUGAUUUCCAUUGAAGGAAAAGUUAUUGAAUUAUUGGUGAAGCCAGUUGGGCGUCAAUUCGAUUAUGUCUUCUAUCGAGUGAAAUACAUUGAAGAUCUACGAGAGCAAGUACAAAAUUUAGAGGCUCAGAGAAAAGAUGUGCUCGACUCCAUCAAUGCAGCAAAAAGGAACAGAGAAGAAAUUCUAGUAAGUGUCAAGAAUUGGAUUGACAAAGUUAAUGGGUUCAUUCUUGAGGCUAAAGAGUUUCUAGAAGGUGGUACCAAUGUGAAUUUGAAAUGUUUCAACGGGUGGUUUCCUGAUUUGGUCACAAGAUGCCGGCUAGGUAAGGAAGCAAAAAAUAAAGCAGAGGAGGCUAAAGAGCUGGGAAAAGAAGGCAAAUUCAAUAACAACAUAUCCAAACCUGCACUUCCCUUGGGGAUAGAAUCCAUACCCUCUGAACAGUUCGUGCCUUAUGCUUCUAGAAAUUCAACAAUGACGAGUGUAAUGGAGGCACUAAUUGACGAAAAGAUUAACAUCAUUGGAAUACAUGGUAUUGGGGGAGUUGGAAAGACAACUUUUGUGAAAGAAAUCGGCAAAAAAGCAAAAUCUAAUAAGCAUUUUGAUGAAGUUGUGAUGGCUGUAGUGUCUCAGAACCCAGACAUUAAAAACAUUCAAGGUCAAAUAGCUAGCAUGUUGGGUUUCACCAGAUUAAUUGAUCAACAAAGUGAAAUCGAAAGAGCAAGCAUGUUGUAUGCAAGACUCAAGGAUGUGAAGAAGAUCCUUGUUAUAUUGGAUAAUGUUUGGGCCAAACUUAAUUUGGCAGCCGUGGGUAUUCCAUUUGGAAAUGAUCACCAAGGUUGCAAAAUCAUAAUCACAACACGGCGUGAACAAGUAUGCAAUUCCAUGGGAAUGGAAAGGCUGAGGACAAAGAUUGUUCAUCUCGGUGUUUUAUCUGAAAAAGAUUCAUGGGACUUGUUCAAAAAGAAUGUUGGCGAUGUUGUUGACUCUAAUGUGUUGACUGUUGUCGCUAAUGAGGUUUGUAAAGAAUGUGGAGGCCUGCCAAUAGCACUUGUUACGGUUGGAAAUGCAAUGAAGGGAAAAGAUGACCCUACUUUAUGGGAUGAGGCAGCUCGAGAAUUGAGAAAAUCAGUGCCAACAAACAUUGAAGGUGUCAAUCAACAUGUGUACAAAAGUCUUAAGUUGAGCUAUGACUACCUGCAAGAUGAGGAAGCCAAGGCUUGCUUCUUGCUUUGUUCUCUAUUUCCCGAGGAUCAUAACAUCUUAAUAGAAGACUUGGUACGAUAUGGGAUGGGGUUGAGGGUAUUCAAAAAUGUUGAUACAGUGCAUGAAGCCAGGGGCAGAGCAAAGUCAGUAACCAACAAUCUCAUAGCUUCCUGUUUGUUAUUAGCUAGUAAACAAGAUUGCAUCAAAAUGCAUGAUGUUGUACGUGAUGUUGCCAUAGAUAUUGGAUCCAAAAAGUAUUUUGUACGAGCUGGUUGCAAUUUGAAUGAUUGGCCAAAGAUCAAUAGUUUGGAUCAAUACACUGGCAUAUCGUUGAUGAGAAAUCAAAUCAGUAACCUUCCUGAGGUCUUAGAAUGUCCAAAGCUCCAAAUAUUACUAUUACAACACAAUAAAAAUGAAUGGUCAUGUUCACAUGAAUUCUUUUCAAGGAUGAAUGCACUUAGUGUUUUAGAUUUGAGCCAACAACUUGACUACAAUUUUGACUGUAGUCCUGAUCUAAUUCGUAGUCCUGAUGCUUUCAAUAACCAAACGUGUCUUCGAACAUUAGUCCUUGACAGAAUUAAGUUUGGGGACACUAAAUAUCUUAGACAGUUAAAGACGCUUGAAGUCCUUAGCCUUCGGUGUGCCUUUUUUUCCGAGGCACCAAAUGCAAUAAGGGAGUUAACUAAUCUAAGGUUAUUGGACAUGACUGAAAGCCAUCAUGAAUUUCUGAUUCCGGCCACAAUGGUAUUGCCUUUAUCCCAUUUGGAGGAGUUGUACUUGUUUGGUACCAAAUAUUCUAGAAGGAUCGGAGACUCGGACCCUGCAAUAGAAGACGCUGACCUUGCAGCGGAAUACCCAAUAGAAGGCCCAGAAGACCCUGACCCUGCAGUAGAAGUAGCUGCUGCACUAAGAUCUUGGCCUCGCCUAAAAGUGCUAACCAUUUCCAUACCUGACAUUGCGUAUAUACCCAAGGACUUUGUUUUUCCUGAGCUGGAAAGUUUUAUUAUUUUUAUUGGAAAAUCGAGUUCAGAGGCGAGCGUUGAAAAUUAUUCCCCAAAUUAUUUGGUACUUGGAAAUUUGGUUGGAACCAUGGUUUAUUGGAGUAAAUGGCUAAAGAUGGUGUUGAAGAGAGCUACACGUCUAAAGAUUGUAGAUUGUUCUCAAUUCGAAUACUUGAUCAACAUAGAGGAAUGGGGGAUUUCAUCACAUGCACAACAACUGGAUCUGCAAUUGCUCUUCAACCUGGAAGAAUUGGAACUCAGCUGUUUGGUUACUUUCAAAGGGAUAUGUGCAGCAAGUGCACUUACUACUUCGAGUUGGGUGUGCUUCCCAAAGCUCAGAAGUUUGAAAGUUGGCGAUUGUCCGUCACUAUCAACUGUUCUUCUUCCAUUCAAUUUGCUUCAAAGGCUACAACAUUUGGAGAAGCUUCGGGUAGCAGAAUGCGAGAAAUUGGAACAAGUAUUUGAUUUUGGUUCUGAAGGAGAAGGCAUGAAGCUGCUUUCUAGUUUGAGAGAUUUAUAUCUAAUCAAGUUGCCUAGAUUGAAGCAUAUAUUGAACUGCUCCAGUCGUCAACAUGUGCAACUCUGCAACCUAAGAUUUAUGUCUGUCGUUUCAUGUGACAAACUGAAAUAUGUCUUCCAACCUUCCAUAGCUCAAGCUCUUCAUCAACUUGAAGUGCUUUGGGUAAUUAAGUGUGAAGAAAUGGAGGAAAUUGUUGCUGCGAAGCAAAACGAAGGGCAACAAGAAGAAGAAGAGAGAGUGUUCAAAAGUCUCAAAAAACUCUACCUUCAAGAUCUUCCAAAUCUAAGUGGUUUCUGCACAGGAGGAGACGACUGUCCUUUUGAAUGGCCAUCCUUGGAAGAACUUACAGUGGAAAACUGCCCCAAAAUGAAGACUUUCGCUGCCACUACUUCUGGCAGCACACCAAAACUGAAGGAAGUUUAUUCAGAUGAAUCCGUGAUACCGCUACAGGGGAUGGACUUGAAUCAGUUUGUGCAAACCCAUAUCAUUUCAAAGCCACCUAAGGCAAGACAGAUUGGUACUCUUUGAAGAUGAAAUCCAAGUUGAAUCCUAAUUAGAUUGUGAACUAGAUUAUGAAUUUAUGAGGAAUAACUCUCAUGAUUGUCAACCAUAAACAAUGCUGAGCUACUGCCUAAGGUUAUGUGAUGUCUACCUUAGGAUUUUAUUGUGUAAGGACAUACGCUUCCUAUGAUUUGUGUUUCUAAAUGAUUGUCUUGCUUUGCAAUAUCAAAACUCCUACUCUAACUAAAGGAAUGUUUACCUAAUGUGUGCUAAAGAAAGAGUGAAUAGAGAGGGAGGGGGGGUACCUAGUGUGUGUAAUUUUACUUUCUAUGCAUUGUAAUGGAGCUUGUAUCCUAAAUUAUUUAUCUCA